AGCAACGGUGAGCGGCUCUGUGGUUCCGUCACCACUGACACGGCUGUUGCAUCAGUUUACAGCCGCCGGCUGAGCGGGUUGGCCGCAAAGAGCUCAGAGGUCAAGAUCUUCUUUUGUUCUUUUCUAUUCUUUCUAGUAAUGUUCAAGUUGUCCCUGGAGGAAACCUAACACUGGAUUCAAAUAAUUGAUUCCGUUACUACCUCAAAAAUCUGCAACCUUGCCCAUCAAGGACAGGAGCAGCAAGAGUGCUUCCAUUUGUGGAUUCCUUUCCGAUUUUGUGCAUCAUCCUAUCUGGUAUAUAGAUUUACCAUCACUGAGUCUGAAUCCUCUAAAGUCAUUAUAGCGUAGGGAGGUGAAAGUCAUCGUAGUGUAAGGUGCUGAAAUAUUUAGUGAACCUGUCCCCAUAGUUUUGAGGCUUUGAAUGAGAAGGACAUGAUUUUAUUGAAUGCUGGUGUCAACUGAUCUACUGCUGCUGCUGUUUCUCCUGUUGUCAAUAUCACUAAAAUGAAUAAACAAAACAUUGCAAUUGCCUUUCCAUUAUUGAUUUUUGCUUCUGAAUUAUCACAAUCUUAAACAGAUUUCUGCAUAUACACUGAAUUCAACAGAUUUAUUUCUAGAAUUUAAAUAGGGCAGUUUAAUGCCAUGAAAAUUCUAAGGAGGUAUACAGAAGGAAAAUAAAAUGUAACAAUUCCAAAUCCUUGGCAGGGGAAGUUACAGUAGAUCAGCAUUUUUGCCAAACAGAUAAGAAACUCUUGUCUAGAGAACUAGAUUAAAAAAGAUGUAGAAA